rnacentral:rRNA from 1 species
AGAGUUUGAUUAUGGCUCAGGAUGAACGCUGGCGGCGUGCCUAACACAUGCAAGUCGAGCGAUUCUCUUCGGAGAAGAGCGGCGGACGGGUGAGUAACGCGUGGGUAACCUGCCUCAUACACAUGGAUAACAUACCGAAAGGUAUGCUAAUACAGGAUAAUAUAAGAGAUUCACAUGGAUUUCUUAUCAAAGCUCCGGCGGUAUGAGAUGGACCCGCGUCUGAUUAGCUAGUUGGUAAGGUAACGGCUUACCAAGGCGACGAUCAGUAGCCGACCUGAGAGGGUGAUCGGCCACAUUGGAACUGAGACACGGUCCAAACUCCUACGGGAGGCAGCAGUGGGGAAUAUUGCACAAUGGGCGAAAGCCUGAUGCCAGCAACGCCGCGUGAGUGAUGAAGGCCUUCGGGUCGUAAAACUCUGUCCUCAAGGAAGAUAAUGACGGUACUUGAGGAGGAAGCCCCGGCUAACUACGUGCCAGCAGCCGC